UACGAAGGGGGCUAGCGUUACUCGGAUUGACUGGGCGUAAAGGGCGCGUAGGCGGCUUGUACAGUCAGACGUGAAAUUCCUGGGCUCAACCUGGGGGCUGCGUUUGAUACGUGCGGGCUUGAGUUCGGAAGAGGGUCGUGGAAUUCCCAGUGUAGAGGUGAAAUCGUAGAUAUUGGGAAGAACACCGGUGGCGAAGGCGACUACCUGGCCUUGUUCUGACGCUGAGGCGCGAAAGCGUGGGGAGCAAA
rnacentral:rRNA from 1 species